ACCUGGUUGAUCCUGCCAGUAGUCAUAUGCUUGCCCCAAAGACUAAGCCAUGCGCGCGUCAGUAUGAAUCUCCGCACGAUGAAACUGCGAAUGGCUCAUUAAAACAGUUGUAGUUUGUUUGAUGGUUAUCGGUUAUUCGGAUAUUCGUGGCAAUCCUAGAGCUAAUGCGUGCGUGAAAACGCGACUUUCCGGGAGCGUUGUAUUUAUUAGCUACAGAAUCAAUCCGCGACGCGGCUAUUGGGCGAUUCGGAGUAAAUAUGCGAAGCGCAUGACUCGUGUCGGCGCUGCGUUGUUCAAGCUUCUGACCUAUCAGCUUUGGGCGGUAGGGUAUUGGCCUACCGUGGCAUUUACGGGUAACGGAGAAUUAGGGUUCGGUUCCGGAGAGGAAGCCCGAGAAACAGCUACCACAUCUAAGGAAGGCAGCAGGCGCGCAAAUUACUCAAUCCUGACACAGGGAGGUAGUGACGAGAAAUAACGAAGCAAGCCGAAAUUGCGGUUUUGCUGUUGGAAUGGGUAGAAAGUAAACCUCUUUGCGACUAUCAAUUGGAGGGCAAGUCUGGUGCCAGCAGCCGCGGUAAUUCCAGCUCCAAUAGCGUAUAUUAAAGUUGUUGCGGUUAAAAAGCUCGUAGUUGGGUUUCUGUCGAGGGCGGGCGGUCCUUGCUUGGCGAGAGUAUCUGCCUCGGCCUUGGCAUCCUCGUGGGAGAUGUAACUGCGCUUGAGUGCGUGGUGCGAACCUCGCGACUUUUACUUUGAGGAAAUUAGAGUGUUUGCGGCAAGCUAUCGCCUUGAAUAUAUUAGCAUGGAAUAAUGAUUUAGGAUUUUGGUUCUACCUUGUUGGUUCCUAGAACUAGAGUUAUGGUUAAUAGGGACAAUUGGGGGCAUUUGUAUUAACCUGUCAGAGGUGGAAUUCUUGGAUUAGGUUACGACACGCUACUGCGAAAGCAUUUGCCAAGGGUGUUUUCAUUGAUCAAGAACGAAAGUAUGGGGAUCGAAGAUGAUUAGAUACCGUCGUAGUCUAUACCAUAAACAAUGCCAGCUAGAGAUAGGGGGUCGUCCUUUUAUUGAUUCCUUCUGCACCUUCUGAGAAAUCAAAGUCUUUGGGUUCCGGGGGGAGUAUGGUCGCAAGGCUGAAACUUAAA
rnacentral:rRNA from 1 species